UGCAGUCGAGCGAACGGACGAGAAGCUUGCUUCUCUGAUGUUAGCGGCGGACGGGUGAGUAACACGUGGAUAACCUACCUAUAAGACUGGGAUAACUUCGGGAAACCGGAGCUAAUACCGGAUAAUAUUUUGAACCGCAUGGUUCAAAAGUGAAAGACGGUCUUGCUGUCACUUAUAGAUGGAUCCGCGCUGCAUUAGCUAGUUGGUAAGGUAACGGCUUACCAAGGCAACGAUGCAUAGCCGACCUGAGAGGGUGAUCGGCCACACUGGAACUGAGACACGGUCCAGACUCCUACGGGAGGCAGCAGUAGGGAAUCUUCCGCAAUGGGCGAAAGCCUGACGGAGCAACGCCGCGUGAGUGAUGAAGGUCUUCGGAUCGUAAAACUCUGUUAUUAGGGAAGAACAUAUGUGUAAGUAACUGUGCACAUCUUGACGGUACCUAAUCAGAAAGCCACGGCUAACUACGUGCCAGCAGCCGCGGUAAUACGUAGGUGGCAAGCGUUAUCCGGAAUUAUUGGGCGUAAAGCGCGCGUAGGCGGUUUUUUAAGUCUGAUGUGAAAGCCCACGGCUCAACCGUGGAGGGUCAUUGGAAACUGGAAAACUUGAGUGCAGAAGAGGAAAGUGGAAUUCCAUGUGUAGCGGUGAAAUGCGCAGAGAUAUGGAGGAACACCAGUGGCGAAGGCGACUUUCUGGUCUGUAACUGACGCUGAUGUGCGAAAGCGUGGGGAUCAAACAGGAUUAGAUACCCUGGUAGUCCACGCCGUAAACGAUGAGUGCUAAGUGUUAGGGGGUUUCCGCCCCUUAGUGCUGCAGCUAACGCAUUAAGCACUCCGCCUGGGGAGUACGACCGCANGGUUGAAACUCAAAGGAAUUGACGGGGACCCGCACAAGCGGUGGAGCAUGUGGUUUAAUUCGAAGCAACGCGAAGAACCUUACCAAAUCUUGACAUCCUUUGACAACUCUAGAGAUAGAGCCUUCCCCUUCGGGGGACAAAGUGACAGGUGGUGCAUGGUUGUCGUCAGCUCGUGUCGUGAGAUGUUGGGUUAAGUCCCGCAACGAGCGCAACCCUUAAGCUUAGUUGCCAUCAUUAAGUUGGGCACUCUAAGUUGACUGCCGGUGACAAACCGGAGGAAGGUGGGGAUGACGUCAAAUCAUCAUGCCCCUUAUGAUUUGGGCUACACACGUGCUACAAUGGACAAUACAAAGGGCAGCGAAACCGCGAGGUCAAGCAAAUCCCAUAAAGUUGUUCUCAGUUCGGAUUGUAGUCUGCAACUCGACUACAUGAAGCUGGAAUCGCUAGUAAUCGUAGAUCAGCAUGCUACGGUGAAUACGUUCCCGGGUCUUGUACACACCGCCCGUCACACCACGAGAGUUUGUAACACCCGAAGCCGGUGGAGUAACCUUUUAGGAGCUAGCCGUCGAAGGUGGGACAAAUGAUUGGGGUGAAGUCGU
rnacentral:rRNA from 1 species